rnacentral:rRNA from 1 species
GACGAACCGUGCAAACGUUGUUCGGAAUCACUGGGCUUAAAGGGCGCGUAGGCGGGCAGCCAAGUCUGUGGUGAAAUCUUUCGGCUUAACCGGAAAACGGCCGUGGAUACUGGCUGUCUUGAGGGAGGUAGGGGCCCGUGGAACUUCCGGUGGAGCGGUGAAAUGCGUUGAUAUCGGAAGGAACGCCGGUGGCGAAAGCGGCGGGCUGGAUCUCUUCUGACGCUGAGGCGCGAAAGCUAGGGGAG